ensembl:lncRNA
GGAGGAGAGGUGAACCUUGAGUGUGUAAUCCAGGCGGGUUAUGGUGACUUCCAGGUAGGUACAUCCAUCAGUGGUUCAGCGAUUCCAAGUAUCCUGAAGAUGAAACAAACUUGAGUCCAAACACCAAAAUCCAAGCACAAAAAACCAGAAAAAUCCAAAACUGCGACCACACGAAUGUCUGAGAAUAGACAAAGCAAAACCUAGAACUGAGUGGCAAGAUUCUACCGUGAGUAGUUAAUCAUCCAGCGAUGUGAAGUGGUUCCCUCUCCUCUUAAAUAGAGCUCUGCUGCGGUUGAUUAGAGGAUCUGCAGCUGCCGCUGAUCGGUAAUGCCCCGCAGCUGGUGAGUGCCCUCUCCUGGAAUGACAGUCUUACAAAGAUGUUGUGGAGAAGAGGGAGUACUCACCCCGUCACACAACAAGGAGCAGCACCUCUGGGCGUCUGUGCCAUUUAAAGCCUUUGUACUAUCGCUUUCAUCCAUUUUGCUGUGUUUUGUAGUGGAGCUAAACACUUCCUGCCCCCCAUUUGAGUGUAAUGUGAAGUGAUGUCACAGACUGAGCGGAGCUGACCAUAGAGUAAAAAGACCCAAUGAUUAGUGGUUUUCGGUCUGACUCAUCUGUACUUGAAGCCUCUGUGGGAGCCUAAAGUCUGUCUUUGUACAGGUUUAGCAGCUGAAGAGCCCUGGUACACACUCGACCCCCUGGUGAUAGUAGCCAUUUGCCUGGGAAUACCCAUGAUCCUCCUUGCUGUGCUGUUGAUGGUGCGCCAUCAGAGGUUGACUAGUAUCCUGUUUCCUCCAAUCCCUCGUCCUCCACCGCAGUACAAAUAUUUUCUAGAGAAAGGCGACCCUGUCUGUGUAAGCAAACACACACACACACACAUUGAGGUGAACACCUUAAUGUGUGUGUGUACACGCAGUUCUAAUGUGGAUUUCUUCUUGUGUUGCUAGUUCUACCCUUCUGUGCCAGAAAAACACGAGGAAGAGAUCACUGAGGUGGAGGAUGCAGAGCAAAACCCUGAAAGCAACACAGAAUAAAGACGUGCAUGCUCAUUUUUACUCCACAAGUCGGUACACACAGGUUGGACGCAUGCAUUGAGCAUUUACAAAUGUUCUACCAAAAUUCAAAGAGCUUUAGAAAUCUUUUGCAUUAAGACUUUCUGUUGUUUUUAGGAAUAAAGACGUUUUGUCUUACAUUCAUUUAGUUUUUCAUGCAUUUCAUCAAACUGCGACUUUUAUUUACUAUUUUCUGGCAGGAUUUGAACAAGAGGCGUUUGAGACUUACACCAAUUUCUUCACAGUUGUACUGAAAUCUUAAACGUUUCUACAAAAUAAGUUUAUUUUUUACAGUUUAUAAUAAAGUCUGGUUAUGAACUGUGAUCUGCUCAUUUUGGAGUCAUUUUUCUACUUUUACCUGCUGUUUGUAGAGGGUUGGGAAACACUAAAUCAGAUAUUCAUGCACAAGAAAACUUAGUUAGCCUAGUCUAGUCUAGUUAGCCAUCGUCUUCGUCACUGCCGCGGCUCCGCCCUCUCGGUCCUCCAGGCAACGCCUACUAAUGUUGCAGUUUUUAAAAUUGAUACGUGGGUGGAGUAAGACUCUGAGGGGGGCAUUACCACUACUUUAAGGUAAAAAAGACAAGAAGUUUUGACUUUUAAUAGUGGAACUUAAAGAGCAAGUCACCCCCAAAUAAACUUUUUUUUGCUGAUAAACUAAAUAAACGAGUGUCUAAUCGUGCUGCAGACACGUGUCGUCAAUAAUUUGGCACUUCAGUGCAUCUUAGUUAAAAUUUAAAUAUUCUGCCUAAAACUGUCAGUGUUGUGCCGUUGUCAGGUAAAAACUCUGCACUGUAUUCUAAUUUAAAUCUGCCACCACUAUUGGCUAAGAGGUAUGCUAUGAUGUAAACUGGUACAUUAUGAUGUCACAAUGCUGUCGUGAGCCUGUGUGUGUGUAUUUGUUAGCAGCUCCGCCCCCUCGGUCUGCCAGGCAACAGCAUUUGUUGCAUUUUUCAAACAUGAAGUGGGAGUGGAGUUAGA